GGUUUUAGCAUCGGUUAGUCCAUAUUUUCAUGCUAUGUUCACAAAUUUUGCAGAAAGUAAUAAAGAUCUUGUUGCUAUAAAACACUUAAAUUCUACCGCUAUACAACUCGGAGUAGACUAUAUUUAUUCUGGGGAAGUCGUGGUUACCGAAAAAAAUGUACAGAUAUUGUUGCCAGCAGCAAAUGUAUAGCAGUUACA